GACGAACGCUGGCGGCGUGCUUAACACAUGCAAGUCGAGCGGUAAGGCCCUUUCGGGGGUACACGAGCGGCGAACGGGUGAGUAACACGUGGGUGACCUGCCCUCAGCUCUGGGAUAAGCCUGGGAAACUGGGUCUAAUACUGGAUAUGACUCCACGGUGCAUGUCGUGGGGUGGAAAGCCUUGUGCGGCUGAGGAUGGGCCCGCGGCCUAUCAGCUUGUUGGUGGGGUGANGGCCUACCAAGGCGACGACGGGUAGCUGGUCUGAGAGGAUGAUCAGCCACACUGGGACUGAGACACGGCCCAGACUCCUACGGGAGCAGCAGUGGGGAAUAUUGGACAAUGGGCGAAAGCCUGAUCCAGCAAUGCCGCGUGUGUGAAG
rnacentral:rRNA from 1 species